GGCCAGGUAGCUCAAUAGGUAGAGCUCACUAAAGUACCUCAUAAAUCCAGAAGGCCUGGGUUCAACCCCUAGUCUGGCCU